rnacentral:sRNA from 10 species
AAUUUUAAUUUGAAUUUUUUUAACAUUCUGGAAACGCUCUUUGGCUUGACAUAUGUGGACAACAGAACAAUAAUUUUCAGGGACUACAAUGCACAUGCUGCUGCUGCCUGCAUGAAUCGGCUAGCUAAACUGAGGGAAUCAUGGCUUUUCAAUUGGAAUUGAUGAUGUCCAACCGGGGAAAAGGUUGAAUGAUGAGAAAGCAGUAAAAAAUUCAGGAGGUCAUAAGAAAUGUGAUGAAGAGAUAUAGAUGGUCAAUGAAGGAAAACUAGAGCCUAAACCUGGUUGUGAUGCUGCUCAAACACUAGAAGCUAAUGUAAGUGCAAUAUUGAAUAAAAUUCGGGACAAAACGGGGAAGGUAAUGAUUGGGGCUAUGUUGUAGUAUUUUCUAAUUUCUAUUUGAACGUGUGAAAUGGUCAC